rnacentral:rRNA from 1 species
GAUCCUGGCUCAGGACGAACGCUGGCGGCGUGCCUAAUACAUGCAAGUCGAGCGCGGGAAGCAAACUGAAUCCUUCGGGAGGACGUUUGUGGAACGAGCGGCGGACGGGUGAGUAACACGUGGGCAACCUGCCUGUAAGACUGGGAUAACUCCGGGAAACCGGGGCUAAUACCGGAUAACUCAUCGGAUCGCAUGAUCCGAGGUUGAAAGAUGGCUUCUUGCUAUCACUUACAGAUGGGCCCGCGGCGCAUUAGCUAGUUGGUGAGGUAACGGCUCACCAAGGCCACGAUGCGUAGCCGACCUGAGAGGGUGAUCGGCCACACUGGGACUGAGACACGGCCCAGACUCCUACGGGAGGCAGCAGUAGGGAAUCAUCCGCAAUGGACGAAAGUCUGACGGUGCAACGCCGCGUGAGUGAGGAAGGCCUUCGGGUCGUAAAACUCUGUUGUUAGGGAAGAACAAGUUCCGUUCGAAUAGGGCGGAGCCUUGACGGUACCUAACCAGAAAGCCACGGCUAACUACGUGCCAGCAGCCGCG